AUAUUGCGCAAUGGACGAAAGUCAGACGCAGCGACGCCGCGUGGGCGAUGAAGGCCUUCGGGUUGUAAAGCCCUUUUAUGGGGGAAGAGAAAAAGGACGGUACCCCAGGAAUAAGUCCCGGCUAACUACGUGCCAGCAGCCGCGGUAAAACGUAGGGGACAAGCGUUAUCCGGAUUCACUGGGCGUAAAGAGCGUUGAGGCGGUUCCGUAAGUUGGGCGUGAAAGCUCCGGGCUUAACUCGGAGAUGUCGUUCAAUACUGCGGGGCUUGAGGACAGCAGAGGAAGGUGGAAUUCCCGGUGUAGUGGUGAAAUGCGUAGAUAUCGGGAGGAACACCCGUGGCGAAGGCGGCCUUCUGGGCUGUUCCUGACGCUGAAGGCGAAAGCUAGGGGAGCGAACGGGAUUAGAUACCCCGGUAGUCCUAGCUGUAAACGAUGGAUGCUGGGUGUGGGGGGUGUAAAUUCCCUCUGUGCCGAAGCAAACGCGUUAAGCAUCCCGCCUGGGGACUACGGCCGCAAGGCUAAAACUCAAACGAAUUGACGGGGGCCCGCACAAGCAGCGGAGCGUGUGGUUUAAUUCGAUGCUACACGAAGAACCUUACCUGGGUUUGACAUGCACGUGGUAGGGAACCGAAAGGGGACCGACCUUCGGGAGCGUGCACAGGUGCUGCAUGGCUGUCGUCAGCUCGUGCCGUGAGGUGUCGGGUUAAGUCCCGUAACGAGCGCAACCCUUGCCCUUAGUUACAAGUGUCUAAGGGGACUGCCCGGGACAACUGGGAGGAAGGUGGGGAUGACGUCAAGUCAGCAUGGCCUUUAUAUCCAGGGCUACACACACGCUACAAUGGCCGGUACAAUAGGUUGCGAAGUCGUGAGGCGGAGCCAAUCCUCAAAGCCGGUCUCAGUUCGAAUUGCAGUCUGCAACUCGACUGCAUGAAGCUGGAGUUGCUAGUAAUCGCAGGUCAGCUAUACUGCGGUGAUACGUUCCCGGGCCUUGUACACACCGCCCGUCACGUCAUGGAAGCUGGCAACGCCUGAAGCCGGUGAGCUAACCCGAAAGGGAGCAGCCGUCGAGGGUGGGGCU
rnacentral:rRNA from 1 species